rnacentral:rRNA from 1 species
GGUUAAGUUAGAAAGGGCGCACGGUGGAUGCCUUGACACUAGGAGUCGAUGAAGGACGGGACUAACGCCGAUAUGCUUCGGGGAGCUGUAAGUAAGCUUUGAUCCGAAGAUUUCCGAAUGGGGAAACCCACCAUACGUAAUGGUAUGGUAUCCUUAUCUGAAUACAUAGGGUAAGGAAGACAGACCCAGGGAACUGAAACAUCUAAGUACCUGGAGGAAGAGAAAGC